GCCAGUGUGGCUUAGCGGUUGGAGUGUUGGACAACAAUUCUGGAGACCAGGGUUCCAUUCCUUGCUAUGAUU